UACGGGGGGGGCGAAGCGUUGUUCGGAAUUACUGGGCGUAAAGGGCUCGUAGGUGGCCAACUAAGUCAGACGUGAAAUCCCUCGGCUUAACCGGGGAACGGCGUCUGAUACUGGAUGGCUUGAGUUCGGGAGAGGGAUGCGGAAUUCCAGGUGUAGCGGUGAAAUGCGUAGAUAUCUGGAGGAACACCGGUGGCGAAGGCGGCAUCCUGGACCGAGACUGACACUGAGGAGCGAAAGCAUGGGGAGCGAACAGG
rnacentral:rRNA from 1 species